GCAAAAUGCAGAAACCUUACUUCAGCAAAUGCUGAAACAGAAUAAAAAAUGUUCUUCAUUUAAAAUUGUGCACAAACCCUCUUUCUACUCACUGAUUUUUCAGUGAGUAGAAGCUGUUUUAUCUAUGAAGUAAAAUAGGACUACUAUAAUAUAUGUGAUGCCUUCAAAACAAGUCACCUGUAAUAAUUCACAUGCUAAUUGGAUGUUUUUUUGUUUUUCCAUCACCACAGAAAAUAAACUAUGGAAAGAACUACACAGGUAACCCAAAGAAACAUGAAAUUGCAGUGGGACCCAGCAGAGUCAGACUGAGAUAAUCAACCAAAAGCUGUUCCAGAGGGUGUCUGGAGAGAGCUUCUACCUCACAACAUCUGU
rnacentral:lncRNA from 1 species